rnacentral:rRNA from 1 species
AUUGAACGCUGGCGGCAGGCCCAACACAUGCAAGUCGAGCGGAUGAAGGGAGCUUGCUCCUGGAUUCAGCGGCGGACGGGUGAGUAAUGCCUAGGAAUCUGCCUGGUAGUGGGGGAUAACGUCCGGAAACGGGCGCUAAUACCGCAUACGUCCUGAGGGAGAAAGUGGGGGAUCUUCGGACCUCACGCUAUCAGAUGAGCCUAGGUCGGAUUAGCUAGUUGGUGGGGUAAAGGCCUACCAAGGCGACGAUCCGUAACUGGUCUGAGAGGAUGAUCAGUCACACUGGAACUGAGACACGGUCCAGACUCCUACGGGAGGCAGCAGUGGGGAAUAUUGGACAAUGGGCGAAAGCCUGAUCCAGCCAUGCCGCGUGUGUGAAGAAGGUCUUCGGAUUGUAAAGCACUUUAAGUUGGGAGGAAGGGCAGUAAGUUAAUACCUUGCUGUUUUGACGUUACCAACAGAAUAAGCACCGGCUAACCUCGUG